rnacentral:rRNA from 1 species
UACGGGGGGGGCAAGCGUUGUUCGGAAUUACUGGGCGUAAAGGGCGCGUAGGCGGUGCUCUAAGUCGGAUGUGAAAACUCUGGGCUCAACCCAGAGCCUGCAUCCGAAACUGGAGUGCUAGAGUUCUGGAGGGGGUAGCGGAAUUCCUGGUGUAGCGGUGAAAUGCGUAGAGAUUAGGAAGAACACCAGUGGCGAAGGCGACUUACUGGACUGUAACUGACGCUGAGGCAUGAAAGCGUGGGGAGCAAACAGG